CCUACGGGAGGCAGCAGUGAGGAAUAUUGCACAAUGGGGGGAACCCUGAUGCAGCGACGCCGCGUGAGCGAGGAAGUAUUUCGGUAUGUAAAGCUCUAUCAGCAGGGACGAAAAAUGACGGUACCUGAUUAAGAAGCCCCGGCUAACUACGUGCCAGCAGCCGCGGGAAUACGUAGGGGGCAAGCGUUAUCCGGAUUUACUGGGUGUAAAGGGAGCGUAGACGGCAGCGCAAGUCUGAAGUUAAAUGCCGGGGCUUAACCCCGGAACUGCUUUGGAAACUGUGCAGCUAGAGUGCAGGAGAGGUAAGUGGAAUUCCUAGUGUAGCGGUGAAAUGCGUAGAUAUUAGGAGGAACACCAGUGGCGAAGGCGGCUUACUGGACUGUAACUGACGUUGAGGCUCGAAAGCGUGGGGAGCAAACAGGAUUAGAUACCCCUGUAGUC
rnacentral:rRNA from 1 species